GGCGAACGGGUGCGUAACACGUGAGCAACUUGCCCUACGGUGGGGGAUAGCCGGUCUAACGGCCGGGUAAUACCGCAUAUGGCGCCGAGGUCACCUGACCUCGGUGGGAAAGCGGCCGCAAGGUCGCGCCGGAGGUGGGGCUCGCGGCGUAUCAGCUAGUUGGCGGGGUAACGGCCCACCAAGGCUAGGACGCGUAGCUGGUCUGAGAGGAUGGCCAGCCACAUUGGGACUGAGAUACGGCCCAGACUCCUACGGGAGGCACGCAGUGGGGAAUAUUGCGCAAUGGCCGAAAGGCUGACGCAGCGACGCCGCGUGUGGGAUGAAGGCCUUCGGGUUGUAAACCACUGUCGGGGGGGACGAAUACCUGGCUUCGAAUAGGAGACCAGGGGUGACGGUACCUCCAAAGGAGCACCGGCUAACUCCGU
rnacentral:rRNA from 1 species